AGAGUUUGAUCCUGGCUCAGGAUCAACGCUGGCGGCGUGCCUAAUGCAUGCAAGUCGAACGGGCUCCGUUCGCGGAGACCCGUGGCGGACGGGUGAGGAACACGUGGGCAAGCUGGCCUGAGGUGGGGGGUAGCCCUCGGAAACGGGGGGUAAUUCCGCAUGUGCGCACGGCCCGAGUGGGGGUGGUGCGGAAAGGCUCUUCGGAGUCGCCUCAGGGGGCGCCUGCGGCCGAUUAGCUGGUUGGUGUGGUCACGGCGCACCAAGGCGAUGAUCGGUAGCUGGUCUGAGAGGACGGCCAGCCACACGGGGACUGAGACACGGCCCCGACUCCUACGGGAGGCAGCAGCAAGGAAUUUUCCGCAAUGGGGGCAACCCUGACGGAGCAACGUCGCGUGCGGGAUGACGCGUUUCGGCGUGUAAACCGCUUUUCCUAGGGAAGACGGAAGACGGUACCUGGGGAAGAAGGCCCGGCUAACUACGUGCCAGCAGCCGCGGUAAUACGUAGGUGGCAAGCGUUGUCCGGAAUUAUUGGGCGUAAAGCGCGCGCAGGUGGUUUCUUAAGUCUGAUGUGAAAGCCCACGGCUCAACCGUGGAGGGUCAUUGGAAACUGGGGAACUUGAGUGCAGAAGAGGAAAGUGGAAUUCCACGUGUAGCGGUGAAAUGCGUAGAGAUGUGGAGGAACACCAGUGGCGAAGGCGACUUUCUGGUCUGUAACUGACACUGAGGCGCGAAAGCGUGGGGAGCAAACAGGAUUAGAUACCCCGGUAGUCC
rnacentral:rRNA from 1 species